AUGCAAGAAGGCACAUCUAGAGCUAGGCUCUUCAAGGAGUACAAGGAGGGCCCAUCGGAGACACCCUUUGAAGGUGGCGUAUUUCACCUUGCAUUCUCAGUUCCUGCUAUAAUUAAUCGCCUUGCAUGGACUGCGUGGAGCCCUGCACGAACCCUAGAUUUUGUUUGCAGAGCUAUACUCGCCUUGAUGGCCCAUCCGGAAGCAGAUAGCCCACUUAAUUGUGACAGGAGCUCCUCGCAGAUCCCCUCGGCACGUCCAGCCGACGCCGCAGCGCGAUUUCGGCGUGUCUCCGCCGCGCCGGAUGGUCGCCGGCGGCCUCUUCCCGGCUGUGCUGACGUGGCUGGCUUAAUUAGCCACUAA
rnacentral:rRNA from 1 species